UACUGUUACACGUAAUAUUGGUAGUAACGGUCGCUUGACAAAAAAUGUUUAUUGUUUUACUGUAAUAAUUUUUUCGUCAGAAAAAUGAAUUCCGAAAACAUUCCUAAAGAAAAAAUGUAAAAAUCUGUAGAAGCGAGUGCGCAAUUGAUUCCGAGGAAAUCGUCUGAAAGAUAUCAAAGACAAUUUUGUGAAUUUUGCAAGUGGCUACCGGAAAAUAUUAUAUAAAUAAUUUGAACGGAAGUUAUGUUAGCAUACUUCUUAGAUUUGCUGACAAAUUAAAUGUUCAGUCACAUGAUUAUUUCACAAAUCAACUGUUUUUCAAUCUGAGAAAAUGUGUCCAUCAUCAUUUGGCCAAAAUAUUCUAUAAUAAAAUUAUUCCUGUUUCACAAUGAAAAUGUUGAUAUCUCCCGCAGCACGAAGUUAGUUGUCUCCGAAACAGGCAAAGACAUUAACCAGGGAAGACAUUUACAAAUUUCUGAAAGAAAUGGUAGCCAUAAUUGGAAUAGCCGCCCAUAAGAAUUGCAUAAUAUGUCAUUGGAAGAAACUAAGCCCCAGUUAGUGAUUUAUCAUUAUUCCUCAUACAAAAACGAAUCAAAUGAAUUAUUACUAUAAUUACUGAAGUAAGAUUCAUUUAUAAGUUAAAAGUAUGUAGUGUUAUUUUUAAGUUGUGUUUCAGUAAAUGAAUAAAAAUA